UACGUAGGGUGCAAGCGUUGUCCGGAAUUAUUGGGCGUAAAGAGCUCGUAGGCGGUUUGUCGCGUCUGCUGUGAAAACCCGAGGCUCAACCUCGGGCCUGCAGUGGGUACGGGCAGACUAGAGUGCGGUAGGGGAGAUUGGAAUUCCUGGUGUAGCGGUGGAAUGCGCAGAUAUCAGGAGGAACACCAGCGGCGAAGGCGGCGAUCUGGGCCAGUACUGACGCUGAGGAGCGAAAGCGUGGGGAGCGAACAGG
rnacentral:rRNA from 1 species